CGGCCCCAGCCUUGAGCUCAGCCCACAGAGCCUCCCGGUCUCCUGUGAGGACACAGCAGGGAACCCAGCCAGUCCCGCCUGCAGGAUAGGCAGCCAAUGACAGGAGACCAGAGCCUGACACAGAGGACUCAGGCCUGGCAAAGAGGAGAGGUGGGCAGCCCGGCACUAGUAGCUACUAAGCCCCUCUGUGGUCAAGAGGAGGCUGAGCCAUCUUGAUCCAACUGCCCUUGGGCCCCCACAGCCCAGGAUUGCAGAGGGCUCUCGGUGUCACCAUCUGAGAGGUCAGGCUAAGUCACUCCUCCUCCUGCCCGGGGCAUUGUGAUGCUCUAACCAGAGUGAGCAGGGGCCUUUGGCCACCCAGUAUCAGUUUGACCUCUGAAGACCUGGAGAGUGAGUAACUGAGGUCAGCCACACAAGUAGUCCAUGCUUUCAUCACUGACCUCCAAUAAAAACACUGGACACCAAGACUCAGUCUUGCUCCAUCACCCAGGCUGGAAGACAGUGGCAUGAACACAGCUCACCGCAACCUCGAUCUCCUGGGGCUCAAGUGAUCAUCUGGCCUCAACCUUCUGCGUGGCCAGGACUACAGGUGCACGCCACCGCGCCUGCGUAACUUUUAAAUGUUUUCUUAGAGACCACAUCUGACUGCG